AUUGAACGCUGGCGGCAGGCCUAACACAUGCAAGUCGAACGAGUGGCGGACGGGUGAGUAAUGUCUGGGAAACUGCCUGAUGGAGGGGGAUAACUACUGGAAACGGUAGCUAAUACCGCAUACCAUCAGAUGUGCCCAGAUGGGAUUAGCUUGUUGGUGGGGUAACGGCUCACCAAGGCGACGAUCCCUAGCGGGUCUGAGAGGAUGACCAGGCACACUGGAACGGAGAAACGGUCCAGACUCCUACGGGAGGUAGCAGUGGGGAAUGUGGCAAAAUGGGCGCAAUCGUGAUGCAGCCAUGCGGCGUGUAUGAAGAAGGGCUUCGGGUUGUAAAGUGCUUUAAGCGGGGAGGCGUUGCCAGCAGAAGAAGCACCGACUAACUCCGUGCCAGCAGCCGCGGUAAUAC
rnacentral:rRNA from 1 species